rnacentral:tRNA from 1 species
CGCGGAGUGGAGCAGUUGGCAGCUCGUCGGGCUCAUAACCCGAAGGUCGUAGGUUCAAGUCCUGCCUCAGCAACCA